CGCUUCUUAGAGGGACAAGCGGCUUUUAGCCGCGUGAAUCUGAGAGCAAUAACAGGUCAGUGAUGCCCUCAGAUGUUCGGGGCCGCACGCGCGCUACACUGUUUGCAUCAGCGUGUUUCUCCCGCGCCGGCCGGCGCGGGCAACCCGUUGAACCGCAAACGUGCUAGGGAUCGGAGAUUGCAAUUGUUCUCCGUGAACGAGGAAUUCCUUGUACUGGCGAGUCAUCAGCUCGCGGGGAAUCUGUCCCUGCCCUUUGUACACACCGCCCGUCGCUACUACCGAUUGAGUGGUUUAGUGAGGCUCACGGACUGCGAGCGGCACCCGUCGGCUCCGGCCGUCACGGCGUCGCGAGCGGGAAGUGAGACGAACUUGAUCACUUCUAGGAAGUAAAAGUCGUAACAAGGUUUUCGUAGGUGAACCUGCGUAAGGAUCA
rnacentral:rRNA from 1 species